GUCUAUGGCCAUGCCACCCUGAACAUUCCCGAUCUCCUCAGAAGCUAAGCAAGGUUGGGCCUGGUUAGUACUUGGAUGGGAGACCACCUAGGAAGACCAGGUGCUGUAGGCA
rnacentral:rRNA from 1 species